CAGGCGCAGUAGAGGGCUCAGAAGGGAAGGAGCGACAAGGGGAUUUUGGAGAGUACGUUUUUCUGAAAUGGUUUUUGGGGGGCAUGUUGCAUUUAGGAAGCUCCUAUGGUGCCAGAACAUCAAAAAAAAAAUGACUGAUGCCUGGUGAAAAGGUGAACGUGACAAAUACCCUUGUCAGCAGCAAGAAAGGAACCACGAAACGAACCACGAACCAGAUGACUGAUGCCCGGUGAAAAGGUGAACGUGACAUAUACCCUCGUCAGCUGCAAGAAAGGAACCACGAAACAGAAUCGGAUCAGGCAAUGGACAAGAUCCACCUCUAGAAUAUGAACAGAAAAAAAGCCAUCACCUACUUUAAAUUCAUUUAACCUCACCUUUACUUUUUUAUCUUUAUUUUUACUUUUAUUUGUAUUUUUAGUUUUUUUUCCUCUAUGAUUUACUACUAUGUUCUAUAUAUACUUUUUUCUUUCACAUUCUCAAUUUUUUUACUUUUUUCCUCGGUUGGUUGUCUCUUAGGUGGUGUGGAGUGAGAUCCACAAAAAACGCUAUCUAAAGAUCUGUGCCCCUCCCACUGCUGCUGACCCUCUGAGCGGAGUGACGGAGAAUAUGGGUGUUGUACCUGUAGGUCUAUCCCCAAGGAUGGGUUGACAGUCCGCUGCAGGUCGGGCACAUAUAGACCUGCUGGGAGGCAACACUUAAAUUUCAUACGAUAUACGAUAUAUACCCUGGUUAUUCCAACAACUAAGAUGGCGUGGAUAUCCUCUAUGAGGCCAGUGCGCAGAUGCUGGAUCACUCACACCCGCGCAUGUCAGCAAGAAGGUCCACAGAACGGGUUGCCCAUACUCAAGAUGGCGCGAAGCUACGAGCAGGAGGAUGGGCGCAUGCGCUAAUAGACUAUGUCACAAACCUGUACCGGAAACACCGGAAGUGUUACGGCGUGAAAUCCGACUUUACUUUUUACUUUAUUUUCUGGUAUUACUAAUGUUUCUCAGGUGAAUUGGCCUAAAUCGGACUAUACUUAUAUUGGGAUCCACUGUGCCCUUGCCUUGACCCGAUCCGGAGGUAGUGAUGACUAUACAAUAUAAGUUGUUUUUCACUAUGCUGCACUAAACAUUUGUAUUUCACUUAUUUUGUUAUACUUGUGUGCUGCACUAUAUUUUCGCAGGUAGUAGGACUCCUGAUGAUUUGUGUGAUUAGAGUACCACUGCUUUGACCUAUGAUGUUUAUUUGUGUACAUAUGCUAAUUAGUUAACACCCACAGGAUAUGAUGUAAUGAUGUCUACCAUAUGUACUGUUGACUACUUGUUAAACACUGCUUGAUAAAGGCUUGGAGAGCAAGCCGAAACGUCGCUGUUCAAAUUUUUUUGGUGAUAAUAAAAGCCACUACUUAUCACAACGUUUGGAGUGCU